UACGGAGGGUGCAAGCGUUGCUCGGAAUCAUUGGGCGUAAAACGCACGUAGGCGGCCUGAUAAGUCGGGUGUGAAAGCCCUGGGCUCAACCCAGGAAGUGCACACGAAACUGUCAGGCUUGAAUAUGGAAGAGGGUCGCGGAAUUCCCGGUGUAGAGGUGAAAUUCGUAGAUAUCGGGAGGAACACCAGUGGCGAAGGCGGCGACCUGGGCCAAUAUUGACGCUGAGGUGCGAAAGCGUGGGGAGCAAACAGG
rnacentral:rRNA from 1 species